rnacentral:ribozyme from 14 species
AAAAAAACAACAACCGAUGUGGCAAAAUGUUAUAUAGUUACAUUCAUAUAUUCUACUAUUUAUCUUUCUUCUUCUUCUUUUCUCAAAAUAAUCCUUGUCCGUUCCCAUUCAUACUUUGGGCAGCAUUAUUAUACAUCUGGACA